AUGCAAGUCGAACGAGAAAGCCCGCAAGGGUGAGUAAAGUGGCGUACGGGUGAGUAACACGUGGGUAAUCUACCUUUAGGUGUGGAAUAACCCUGGGAAACCGGGGCUAAUACCGCAUAUUCUCGCGAGAGGAAAGGCGAAAGUCGCCUGAAGAGGAGCCCGCGGCUGAUUAGCUAGUUGGUGAGGUAAUGGCUCACCAAGGCAAUGAUCGGUAGCCGGCCUGAGAGGGCACACGGCCACACUGGCACUGAAACACGGGCCAGACUCCUACGGGAGGCAGCAGUGGGGAAUCUUGCACAAUGGGGGAAACCCUGAUGCAGCGACGCCGCGUGAGCGAUGAAGCCCUUCGGGGUGUAAAGCUCUUUCGGCAGGAACGAUAAUGACGGUACCUGAAGAAGAAGCUGCGGCUAACUACGUGCCAGCAGCCGCGGUAAUACGUAGGCAGCAAGCGUUGUUCGGAGUUACUGGGCGUAAAGAGUGCGUAGGCGGUGCUCUAAGUUUGGUGUGAAAUCUCCCGGCUCAACUGGGAGGGUGCGCCGAAAACUGGAGUGCUUGAGUAUGGGAGAGGCAAGCGGAAUUCCUGGUGUAGCGGUGAAAUGCGUAGAUAUCAGGAGGAACACCUGUGGUGUAGACAGCUUGCUGGACCAUCACUGACGCUGAG
rnacentral:rRNA from 1 species